ensembl:lncRNA LINC01415 long intergenic non-protein coding RNA 1415
AAACAAAGGCAAUUCGUUCUGUAAAAAUACUCUAGAUUCUUUCUGAGGACUGGGCACUACACUGCUCAUAGUGGGCACCUAAAGUCAGCAUUCAGCCAACUCAGCGGGCUUUAAGAUGGAGACUCUUAAACCUCCUGCAUCAAAAAGACAUAAGGGAAUGUCCCUGAGAAGAGCCUGUGUCUCCUUUGAAGAGAGAGAGAGAGAUUGAUUCUGCCUCCUUGCAAUUCGAACCGGCAUUUUCCAGAACACUCCAAUUUGAAUCACAGUGGAGGGUCAUGGGAGGGAUUUGGCACAGGGGAGUCUUGGGUCUUUGGUUUUCCACAUUGAUCAAUGGGAUUGAUUUUUUCUGUUUUUGUUUUUGUUUUAAAAGAAGAGAAUUAGUUCCUUUUUCUGUCUCCAGGAUUGAAAACAUGAAGGCAAAGAAGAGAAACUCACAAUAUGUCAUUAACUUUGGGUUAUCAAUAUUAGUGGAAAGAAUCAAUGGUGCAAAGAAUCCUAAAGGACUAGAUAAUCCGCAUAUUCGACUUCCUGAUUAUGUGUUACUGACACUAACAUUUCAGAGUGUGGAGACCCUGCCCCAUCUGGGGAGAGGGAGAGACAAAGACCCCCUGCUUCUGGUACUUGAUUCACACAUAAUGCCCUCCAUUUACUGCUUUCAAGAAAUAACCUGUUUCUAAUCUUAAAUUUCAAUCUACUGAUCACAAAAUCAUAGAGAUCUUAGCCUUGAAAGAGACUUCAUGAGACCAUGUGACCAACUUUCUGACGCAGGAUUAGAACAUCCGACAUUAAAAUGUCUCAGUGCAGCAGAAUUUCCCAGCGACUUCGGUGGCGGGAGAGCAGCACCUCUCAGGCACAGCUGUGCGCAUCCCUCGGGCCCCACCGACCGCACCAUCUGACCGCGGGAAACGAAAUCUGAGCUCAGGAAUUUGAACUGCCCCACGCACGUUCGUUCCCGGAUAAAUCUCCUAGAGGACCGUGAUUUUUCCACUUAGAGAUUAUUUAGGGAGAUGUCCUGGAUGGGACAAGUAGACAAAUGGCGGCCCGAGGAAAAUGCAGGAAACUCUACAUUGUAGACGCUUAAGCACCAACUGUCUGGGCCCCGGGGCAGGGAACGGGAGACAUUAUCCACCGGAAACAUCACACCCCCGGGGCUCCUGGCAUUUUCUACAUCAGUGAAUGUGCCAGCGAAGAAGAGUGUGGGGAAAUUUUCUGAACAUAGAAUUCAUAUUCCUGAAACGUUAAGUCGUGAAGUGGGUGCUUCAGCUGUCCCCCAGCUUUAGGAUUUUAACCCAGCUUUGGUUUUGAUCACCGAGAGUUAUUCCUUAUAAUCAAAUCAGCAAAAGCGUUCAAUUACCUAUUACUGGUUGAGAAAGAUUCCGUUCCCCCAGCUCAUUGUAUCGGUUCUUGGACCCAAGAUGUUAAUUAUCGGCCAGGCAUUCACAGGGGGUUAAUAUGGCCCCCCUCGACACCUUGCCUCGUACCAGAGACACCAAAAGCUGCCGCUGAGGGAUAAUAGAGAAUGGGAAAAGCUGGUCAUGAAAAACCUCUUUUAUUCUUACUUGCAAGCUACCCUUUUGACAUUCUUUUUUUAACACUAAAUGGAGAUUACUGAAUUGAUAACUUUUGGGUUUUCUCUGUCACACUGGGGUUUUUUUCCCCCCGUUUGUUUGUAAGGUUUUUUUGGUUUUGGUUUUGGUUUUGGGGGGAGGGGAAGGGGGAAGUGGAUAGGGAGAUGGAAGAGUGUUCUGUUACUGGUUUUAUCAAAUCCUGUUAGGUCUUGUUCUUCAGUGUAAUGUAGAAUGGAGAAGUUGCAUAAGUACAUGAUUGACAAACAAGGUCUCUUAGAAGAGAGUUAAGGAGUAGGAAAUAUAAUGUGUCCUGGAGAAAAAGAAAGAGAAAACCCUUAGUAUGACACACUGGCCUUUAAAUAGAGGACACAUGAAUAUGCAAAGGAGAGGCACGUGUGAAAUAAGGUGUGCCUUGCUGAGCCCUCCCGCCCCCACCCCCCAUGUAUCAAGAACUUUACUUACAUUAUCUCAUCUAAUUCUACCCACAACCCAAGAGGAAGGGCGAUACUUUUAAUUCGGGUUUUUACAGACAAGAAAUUUGUAUCUCAGAGGCCCAAAGUAAAUUGCCUGAGGGCAUAUAGCUACUUAGGACAGAAUUAGAAUUGAUUAAAGAGUCAAAAAUUCUUUGAGAAUUAAUGUUUUAAACUCUCGAUUAGUUACCAAGGGAAUCUGAGAAAUUAAUUAACUUUUGGGGGGAUCUUUAGAUUAGUGGGGAAAUUAUGUUAAGCCCAAAGAAAGACAAGCCCGUGAAUUUUCUUGUUAUCUAUGAAGUGGUUUGGUGAAAGGUGUGACAAUUUGAGAAAACUGAAAAGUGCUGAAAUUCCUUUAAUAAGGUUCUGUUUAAACUGAUAGAGCUACCAGAUAUAAUUAGGCAGAUAUCCAUUUUCUUCUGGAAGCUUCUAUUAUUUGAGAAGAAAACUGAAAAGCUUUAGACUGUUUCAAAUUAAGGACAAUUUGAAUUUUAGUUGGAAAGCGGAUAAACUAUCUGUAUGAUUGAGUUUAAAAGGCAUGGAAAGACUAUUACGAAGUAUUGAUCCCACUCAGUGAGAGCAAGCACAGCUUUCAAAUGAUACAGAUCUGGCUAUGAAUUUGAAUGGUGACUGUGCCUAGCUGUGUGACCAAGGGCAACUUUCUUAACCUCUCUGGGCCUCUGAGUCCUCGUCUUUAAAAUGAGACAAAUAAGCCCUUGCAAGACGCUUGUGAUGAUAAAAUAAAAGAGUA